CCUACGGGAGGCAGCAGUAAGGAAUAUUGGUCAAUGGACGCAAGUCUGAACCAGCCAUGCCGCGUGAAGGAUUAAGGUCCUCUGGAUUGUAAACUUCUUUUAUUUGGGACGAAAAAAGGGCCUUUCUAGGUCAACUGACGGUACCAGAUGAAUAAGCACCGGCUAACUCCGUGCCAGCAGCCGCGGUAAUACGGAGGGUGCAAGCGUUAUCCGGAUUCACUGGGUUUAAAGGGUGCGUAGGCGGGUAGGUAAGUCAGUGGUGAAAUCCUGGAGCUCAACUCCAGAACUGCCAUUGAUACUAUUUAUCUUGAAUAUUGUGGAGGUAAGCGGAAUAUGUCAUGUAGCGGUGAAAUGCUUAGAUAUGACAUAGAACACCUAUUGCGAAGGCAGCUUACUACGCAUAUAUUGACGCUGAGGCACGAAAGCGUGGGGAUCAAACAGGAUUAGAUGCCCUGGUAGUCCACGCCCUAAACUAUGACUACUCGACAUUUGUGAUACACAAUAAGUGUNUGAGAGAAGANAUAAGUAAUACACCACGGAGUACGUCCGCGAGAGAGAGACGUACAAUAGAGUUAGAGGACGNGAGAGNGCGACGGACGACGACGAGGGAGGAGG
rnacentral:rRNA from 1 species